AGCAGAAUGGCCCAGGAAGAGAAAUGGGGCUCUCUGGGAGCCAGGUACCAAACCAUUUAACGCUUUCUGCACCAUGAUCUAGCACCAUGAACUCCACAUGGGAGCACUACUUGGAGCCAAGGGGACUGCUCUGCAACUGGGACAGGAGAGAAGAUGAAAGGUGCCUUACUGAUGUGCGGGAGCCAGAAGCCAGGCUGAAUCCGGACAAUAGGGAAACCUCCACGAUCACCAUGUUGGAAGUGACUCUGCUCCCGAUGUAGCUGGGCACGGGGAGAGAGGAAGGAUGCAGAUGGUCAAAGACUCCGUGAGCAGGGGCUAAAUGAGGCUAUAAAUCUUCCUCCACCUCCUCCCUACCCCCUCCUUCCUCCUCAUGCAAGCACCAGGCUCUGUACAGUUCCUUGGCAUACACGCUUGCUGUAGGAGGGUGUUUAAGAUGGUUUCCCUGCUCUGAACAGAUGCAGCCUCCCUGUGUCUCCCCGAGCAA